ACGAGUUCAAGCCUCCGUGGGUGCAGUUGGUCGCCAGGUAGGGCUGGGGGCCGAGGGACCGGCUCGGGGGCGGGGGGGAAGUGUGCCUGACCGGUCUCUGUCCUCAGCGAGGGAUGCGGAGACGCCCCUGAACGACCAUGGCAUCGGCCGACGAGCUGACCUUCCAUGAAUUCGAGGAGGCCACUAAUCUUCUGGCUGAGACCCCAGAUGCAGCCACCACCAGCAGAAGCGAUCAGCUGACCCCACAAGGGCACGUGGCUGUGGCCGUGGGCUCAGGUGGCAGCUAUGGAGCCGAGGAUGAGGUGGAGGAGGAGAGUGACAAGGCCGCGGUGAGUCCCUGUGUCCUGCCUCCUUGCAGCCCCCAGCUGACCCAGGCUCUCCGGGCAGGCACUGAAUGCCCGCAAUGUGCAGCUCCUGCAGGAGAAGCAGCAGCGGCAGCAGCCCGGAUUCUGGACCUUCAGCUACUAUCAGAGCUUCUUUGACGUGGACACCUCACAGGUCAGGCUGGGGAGGCAGGUGGGAUGGGGCUC
rnacentral:sRNA from 1 species